UACGUAGGGUGCGAGCGUUAAUCGGAAUUACUGGGCGUAAAGCGUGCGCAGGCGGUUAUGCAAGACAGGUGUGAAAUCCCUGGGCUUAACCUAGGAAUUGCAUUUGUGACUGCACGGCUAGAGUGUGUCAGAGGGGGGUAGAAUUCCAUGUGUAGCAGUGAAAUGCGUAGAUAUGUGGAGGAAUACCGAUGGCGAAGGCAGCCCCCUGGGAUAACACUGACGCUCAUGCACGAAAGCGUGGGGAGCAAACAGG
rnacentral:rRNA from 1 species